rnacentral:rRNA from 1 species
UAAGUUAGAUCCUAGCUUAGAAUGAACGCUUAAGACGUACUUUAACACAUGCUAAUUGAAUUUAAAAUAGAAAUUCUAUUAUUUAAAUUAGUGUAGAGGUGAGUAAUAAAUAAAAUUACAAUUGUAAAUUUAGAAUAACAAUAUGUUAGUUAAAAGCUGGCAUAUUUUAAUUCUUAAUGAGUGCUAAAAUAUAAAAACGUACUAAAAAAAUUUUUAUUUAUAAAUGAAUUUUAUUAUUUGAUUAGCUAUUUAAUAUUUAAAAUAAAUAUUAAGGUGAAGAUCAAUAACUGGCCUGAGAGGGUGAACAGUCACAUCAGAAUUGAGAUAAAAUCUGAAUUUCUAAAGAGAGAGCAGCAGUGGGGAAUAUUCUACAAUUAGUGAAAACUAGAUAGAGUGACGUCGUGUGAAAAGACGAAAUAAAAUGUAAAUUUCUGUAAAUAAUUCUAAAAUAAGUGAUUGAAUUAUAAGAAAAUAUCGGCUAACUCUGUGCCAGCAGCCGCGGUAAUACAGAGGAUAUAAGCGUUAUUCAUAAUUAUUGGGCAUAAAGCAUCCUUAGAUGGUUUAUUAUAUUAAAGUAAAAAUUUAAAAAUAAUAUUUUUAAACAUUAUAUUUAAUAUUAAUAGAACUUUGAGAAUAAAACAAGUUUAAGGAAUUUUUUGAGUAAUGGUGAAAUAUUAUUUCUAUACAUUAAGGAAGGCCACGAACGAAAGUGUUAAACUAAGUUACAUCUGACAUUGAUGGAUGAAAGCUAAAGUAGCAAAUGGGAUUAGAUACCCCAGUAGUUUUAGCUGUAAAUUAUGAAUAUUAAAAUUUAGAAAAAUUAUUUUUUUAGAUUUAAAGUUAAUACGUAAAAUAUUCCGCCUGAAUAGUAUGCUCGCAAGAGUCAAAUUCAAAGGAACUGACGGGAACUUAUACAAGUGAUGAGCUAUGUUAUUUAAUUUGAUGCAGCCCAAAAAAUCUUACCAAUAUUUGACAUAAUUAAACAUUUUUCUUUACGGAAAAUUUUAAUUAAUCUUAAGGUGGUGCAUGGUUGUCGUCAGCUAGUGCUGUGAAGUAAUUAAACUAUUCUAAAACUAGCGUAACCCUUAUUUUAAUAUAUAUAUAAUUAAUUAAGGACGAUGUCAAAUCUUUAUGCCCCUUAUGUAUUGGGCUAUUAGCGUGGCGCAACGAUAAAAACAAAUGUAAAAAAUAUUUAUUGAAUUUUAUGAAAAUUUUAUAUAUAUUUAAAACUAAAUUUUAUCUCAGUACGAUAUAUAAAUUGAAAUCUAUUUAUAUUUAGUAGUAACCACUAGUAAUCGUUAGUCAUAUAUAUAACGGUGAAUAUAUAAUUAAGUUUUGUACACACCGCCCGUCGCAUCCUGAAAAUAAAUACGAUACAAGUUAUUUUAUAAGUAACAAAUUUUUGAUUUGUGAUUAGGAUGAAGUCGUAACAAGGUAGCCGUACUGGAAAGUGCGGCUA